rnacentral:rRNA from 1 species
GAAUAAGAGGUCCAGCCUGCCCUGUGACUAUAUGUUUAACGGCCGCGGUAUUUUAACCGUGCGAAGGUAGCGCAAUCACUUGUCUUUUAAAUGGAGACCUGUAUGAAUGGCAUAACGAGGGCUUAACUGUCUCCUUUUUCAAGUCAAUGAAAUUGAUCUCCCCGUGCAGAAGCGGGGAUACGCUCAUAAGACGAGAAGACCCUAUGGAGCUUUAGACACUAAGGUAUAUCAUGCUAAACACCCCUAAACAAAGGACUAAGCCAAAUGAACCAUACCCCUAUGUCUUUGGUUGGGGCGACCGCGGGGAAAUAAAAAACCCCCACGUGGAAUGGGAGCACUGCCUCCUACAACCAAGAGCUGCAGCUCUAAUAAACAGAAUUUCUGACCAAUAAGAUCCGGCAACGCCGAUCAACGGACCGAGUUACCCUAGGGAUAACAGCGCAAUCCCCUUUUAGAGCCCAUAUCGACAAGGGGGUUUACGACCUCGAUGUUGGAUCAGGACAUCCUAAUGGUGCAGCCGCUAUUAAGGGUUCGUUUGUUCAACGAUUAAAGUCCUACGUG